rnacentral:rRNA from 1 species
GGGUUGUGAGGUUAAGCGACUAAGCGUACACGGUGGAUGCCCUGGCAGUCAGAGGCGAUGAAGGACGUGCUAAUCUGCGAUAAGCGUCGGUGAGGUGAUAUGAACCGUUAUAACCGGCGAUUUCCGAAUGGGGAAACCCAGUGUGUUUCGACACACUAUCAUUAACUGAAUCCAUAGGUUAAUGAGGCGAACCGGGGGAACUGAAACAUCUAAGUACCCCGAGGAAAAGAAAUCAACCGAGAUUCCCCCAGUAGCGGCGAGCGAACGGGGAGGAGCCCAGAGCCUGAAUCAGUGUGUGUGUUAGUGGAAGCGUCUGGAAAGGCGCGCGAUACAGGGUGACAGCCCCGUACACAAAAAUGCACAUACUGUGAGCUCGAUGAGUAGGGCGGGACACGUGGUAUCCUGUCUGAAUAUGGGGGGACCAUCCUCCAAGGCUAAAUACUCCUGACUGACCGAUAGUGAACCAGUACCGUGAGGGAAAGGCGAAAAGAACCCCGGCGAGGGGAGUGAAAAAGAACCUGAAACCGUGUACGUACAAGCAGUGGGAGCCUCUUAAUGGGGUGACUGCGUACCUUUUGUAUAAUGGGUCAGCGACUUAUAUUCUGUAGCAAGGUUAACCGAAUAGGGGAGCCGAAGGGAAACCGAGUCUUAACUGGGCGUUAAGUUGCAGGGUAUAGACCCGAAACCCGGUGAUCUAGCCAUGGGCAGGUUGAAGGUUGGGUAACACUAACUGGAGGACCGAACCGACUAAUGUUGAAAAAUUAGCGGAUGACUUGUGGCUGGGGGUGAAAGGCCAAUCAAACCGGGAGAUAGCUGGUUCUCCCCGAAAGCUAUUUAGGUAGCGCCUCGUGAAUUCAUCUCCGGGGGUAGAGCACUGUUUCGGCAAGGGGGUCAUCCCGACUUACCAACCCGAUGCAAACUGCGAAUACCGGAGAAUGUUAUCACGGGAGACACACGGCGGGUGCUAACGUCCGUCGUGAAGAGGGAAACAACCCAGACCGCCAGCUAAGGUCCCAAAGUCAUGGUUAAGUGGGAAACGAUGUGGGAAGGCCCAGACAGCCAGGAUGUUGGCUUAGAAGCAGCCAUCAUUUAAAGAAAGCGUAAUAGCUCACUGGUCGAGUCGGCCUGCGCGGAAGAUGUAACGGGGCUAAACCAUGCACCGAAGCUGCGGCAGCGACACUAUGUGUUGUUGGGUAGGGGAGCGUUCUGUAAGCCUGUGAAGGUGUACUGUGAGGUAUGCUGGAGGUAUCAGAAGUGCGAAUGCUGACAUAAGUAACGAUAAAGCGGGUGAAAAGCCCGCUCGCCGGAAGACCAAGGGUUCCUGUCCAACGUUAAUCGGGGCAGGGUGAGUCGACCCCUAAGGCGAGGCCGAAAGGCGUAGUCGAUGGGAAACAGGUUAAUAUUCCUGUACUUGGUGUUACUGCGAAGGGGGACGGAGAAGGCUAUGUUGGCCGGGCGACGGUUGUCCCGGUUUAAGCGUGUAGGCUGGUUUUCCAGGCAAAUCCGGAAAAUCAAGGCUGAGGCGUGAUGACGAGGCACUACGGUGCUGAAGCGACAAAUGCCCUGCUUCCAGGAAAAGCCUCUAAGCAUCAGGUAACAUCAAAUCGUACCCCAAACCGACACAGGUGGUCAGGUAGAGAAUACCAAGGCGCUUGAGAGAACUCGGGUGAAGGAACUAGGCAAAAUGGUGCCGUAACUUCGGGAGAAGGCACGCUGAUAUGUAGGUGAAGCGACUUGCUCGUGGAGCUGAAAUCAGUCGAAGAUACCAGCUGGCUGCAACUGUUUAUUAAAAACACAGCACUGUGCAAACACGAAAGUGGACGUAUACGGUGUGACGCCUGCCCGGUGCCGGAAGGUUAAUUGAUGGGGUUAGCGGUAACGCGAAGCUCUUGAUCGAAGCCCCGGUAAACGGCGGCCGUAACUAUAACGGUCCUAAGGUAGCGAAAUUCCUUGUCGGGUAAGUUCCGACCUGCACGAAUGGCGUAAUGAUGGCCAGGCUGUCUCCACCCGAGACUCAGUGAAAUUGAACUCGCUGUGAAGAUGCAGUGUACCCGCGGCAAGACGGAAAGACCCCGUGAACCUUUACUAUAGCUUGACACUGAACAUUGAGCCUUGAUGUGUAGGAUAGGUGGGAGGCUUUGAAGUGUGGACGCCAGUCUGCAUGGAGCCGACCUUGAAAUACCACCCUUUAAUGUUUGAUGUUCUAACGUGGGCCCCUUACCGGGGUUGCGGACAGUGUCUGGUGGGUAGUUUGACUGGGGCGGUCUCCUCCUAAAGAGUAACGGAGGAGCACGAAGGUUGGCUAAUCCUGGUCGGACAUCAGGAGGUUAGUGCAAUGGCAUAAGCCAGCUUGACUGCGAGCGUGACGGCGCGAGCAGGUGCGAAAGCAGGUCAUAGUGAUCCGGUGGUUCUGAAUGGAAGGGCCAUCGCUCAACGGAUAAAAGGUACUCCGGGGAUAACAGGCUGAUACCGCCCAAGAGUUCAUAUCGACGGCGGUGUUUGGCACCUCGAUGUCGGCUCAUCACAUCCUGGGGCUGAAGUAGGUCCCAAGGGUAUGGCUGUUCGCCAUUUAAAGUGGUACGCGAGCUGGGUUUAGAACGUCGUGAGACAGUUCGGUCCCUAUCUGCCGUGGGCGCUGGAGAACUGAGGGGGGCUGCUCCUAGUACGAGAGGACCGGAGUGGACGCAUCACUGGUGUUCGGGUUGUCAUGCCAAUGGCACUGCCCGGUAGCUAAAUGCGGAAGAGAUAAGUGCUGAAAGCAUCUAAGCACGAAACUUGCCCCGAGAUGAGUUCUCCCUGACUCCUUGAGAGUCCUGAAGGAACGUUGAAGACGACGACGUUGAUAGGCCGGGUGUGUAAGCGCAGCGAUGCGUUGAGCUAACCGGUACUAAUGAACCGUGAGGCUUAACCUUACAACGCCGAAG